rnacentral:rRNA from 1 species
GACGAACGCUGGCGGCGUGCUUAACACAUGCAAGUCGAACGGAAAGGCCCUGCUUUUGUGGGGUUCUCGAGUGGCGAACGGGUGAGUAACACGUGAGUAACCUGCCCUUGACUUUGGGAUAACUUCAGGAAACUGGGGCUAAUACCGGAUAGGAGCUCCUGCUGCAUGGUGGGGGUUGGAAAGUUUCGGCGGUUGGGGAUGGACUCGCGGCUUAUCAGCUUGUUGGUGGGGUAGUGGCUUACCAAGGCUUUGACGGGUAGCCGGCCUGAGAGGGUGACCGGCAACAUUGGGACUGAGAUACGGCCCAGACUCCUACGGGAGGCAGCAGUGGGGAAUAUUGCACAAUGGGCGGAAGCCUGAUGCAGCAACGCCGCGUGCGGGAUGACGGCCUUCGGGUUGUAAACCGCUUUCGCCUGUGACGAAGCGUGAGUGACGGUAAUGGGUAAAGAAGCACCGGCUAACUACGUG